rnacentral:rRNA from 1 species
GAUGAACGCUGGCGGCGUGCCUAAUACAUGCAAGCCGAGCGAACAGACGAGGAGCUUGCUCCUCUGACGUUAGCGGCGGACGGGUGAGUAACACGUGGAUAACCUACCUAUAAGACUAGGAUAACUUCGGGAAACCGGAGCUAAUACCGGAUAAUAUAUUGAACCGCAUGGUUCAAUAGUGAAAGACGGUUUUGCUGUCACUUAUAGAUGGAUCCGCGCCGCAUUAGCUAGUUGGUAAGGUAACGGCUUACCAAGGCGACGAUGCGUAGCCGACCUGAGAGGGUGAUCGGCCACACUGGAACUGAGACACGGUCCAGACUCCUACGGGAGGCAGCAGUAGGGAAUCUUCCGCAAUGGGCGAAAGCCUGACGGAGCAACGCCGCGUGAGUGAUGAAGGUCUUCGGAUCGUAAAACUCUGUUAUUAGGGAAGAACAAAUGUGUAAGUAACUAUGCACGUCUUGACGGUACCUAAUCAGAAAGCCACGGCUAACUACGUG